rnacentral:rRNA from 1 species
AGAACGAACGCUGGCGGUAUGCCUAACACAUGCAAGUCGAACGAAGCCUUCGGGCUUAGUGGCGGACGGGUGAGUAACGCGUGAGAAUCUGCCUUCAGGACGGGGACAACAGUUGGAAACGACUGCUAAUACCCGAUAUGCCGAGAGGUGAAACUUUUUUGGCCUGAAGAUGAGCUCGCGUCUGAUUAGCUAGUUGGUGGGGUAAGAGCCUACCAAGGCGACGAUCAGUAGCUGGUCUGAGAGGAUGAGCAGCCACACUGGGACUGAGACACGGCCCAGACUCCUACGGGAGGCAGCAGUGGGGAAUUUUCCGCAAUGGGCGAAAGCCUGACGGAGCAAUACCGCGUGAGGGAGGAAGGUCUUUGGAUUGUAAACCUCUUUUAUUAGGGAAGAAGUUCUGACGGUACCUAAUGAAUAAGCAUCGGCUAACUCCGUGCCAGCAGCCGCGGUAAUACGGAGGAUGCGAGCGUUAUCCGGAAUUAUUGGGCGUAAAGCGUCCGUAGGUGGUUUUACAAGUCUGCCGUUAAAGAAUGGAGCUUAACUCCAUAGGGGCGGUGGAAACUGUGAGACUAGAGUACAGUAGGGGUAGCAGGAAUUCCCAGUGUAGCGGUGAAAUGCGUAGAUAUUGGGAAGAACAUCGGUGGCGAAAGCGUGCUACUGGGCUGAAACUGACACUGAGGGACGAAAGCUAGGGUAGCGAAAGGGAUUAGAUACCCCUGUAGUCCUAGCCGUAAACGAUGGAUACUAGGCGAGGCUUGUAUCGACCCGAGCCGUGCCGAAGCUAACGCGUUAAGUAUCCCGCCUGGGGAGUACGCACGCAAGUGUGAAACUCAAAGGAAUUGACGGGGGCCCGCACAAGCGGUGGAGUAUGUGGUUUAAUUCGAUGCAACGCGAAGAACCUUACCAAGGCUUGACAUCCCUGGAAUCCUUGUGAAAGCGAGGAGUGCCUUAGGGAGCCAGGAGACAGGUGGUGCAUGGCUGUCGUCAGCUCGUGUCGUGAGAUGUUGGGUUAAGUCCCGCAACGAGCGCAACCCUCGUUUUUAGUUGCCAGCAUUAAGUUGGGCACUCUAGAGAGACUGCCGGUGACAAACCGGAGGAAGGUGGGGAUGACGUCAAGUCAUCAUGCCCCUUACGCCUUGGGCUACACACGUACUACAAUGGUCAGGACAACGGGCAGCCAAUCCGCGAGGACGAGCGAAUCCCAACAAACCUGGCCUCAGUUCAGAUUGCAGGCUGCAACUCGCCUGCAUGAAGGAGGAAUCGCUAGUAAUCGCAGGUCAGAAUACUGCGGUGAAUUCGUUCCCGGGCCUUGUACACACCGCCCGUCACACCAUGGGAGCUGGUCACGCCCGAAGUCGUUACUCUAACCUUUCGAGGGGGAGGGCGCCGAAGGCAGGGCUAGUGACUGGGGUGAAGUCGUAACAAGGUAGCCGU